UGGAGAACAAAGAAAGGGAGGGGGUUACG
rnacentral:piRNA from 1 species